GCCACAUGCGAGGCUUGAGUCUAUCAGGAGAGCAGCACAGGAAGGAGGUGGCUGGAGCUGCUGCGCAUUGCCAGCAUGACUGCCUGAGCUCCGCCUCUGUCAGAUCAGUGGUGGCAUUAGAUCCUCAUAGGAUCAGGAACACUGUCCUGAACUGCAUAUGCCAGGAAUCUGCACUGUGCUCCUCAUCAGAAUCUAACACCUGAUGAUCUGUCACCAUCUCUCGUCUCCCCCAGAUGGGACCAUCUAAUUGCAGGAAAACAAGCUCAGGGCUCCCUCAGAUUCUACACGAUGGUCCCUUUGGACGUGGCCUUGUCCAUCAGAGGGCAGGGCUCAGUCUGAAAGUCUGCCCAAACCUGGAGAGUGACGAGGACGCCCGCCAUGGAGUCAGAGGCCUGCGCACGUCUGAGCGCCGCUGACCUUCCUGGUAUGCGAGUGAGGUGCCUCCUAGUGACCCUUCCUAGUGCGGGAGGAACCGGGCCUCCCAGAGAGGUGUGUCCUCCUGGAAACUCAGCGUGUGACCUUGUGUGAAAUAAGAGACUUUGCAAAUGUGAAUAAAUGAAGAAGCUCAUGGGGAGGCUAUUUUGG